rnacentral:lncRNA from 1 species
GGGGCGUGGGCGAAGUUCGUCCGCGGGACUCGGAAUGGCCCCAGACUUGGCGGGCGGCCUCCGUGUGCCAAAAAUAGGCCACGGGCACAGCCGCGCCCAAAAAUCAGCCCCCGAAGGUUGGGGUCCCAAGACCCCCCAGCGGAAAAAUGGCCAAAAAACGGGUGGGCUAUAGCCUUGGUGGGGGGCGUGGGCGAAGUUCGUCCGCGGGACUCGGAAUGGCCCCAGACUUGGCGGGCGGCCUCCGUGUGCCAAAAAUAGGCCACGGUCACAGCCGCGCCCAAAAAUCAGCCCCCCAAGGUCGGGGUCCCAAGACCCCCCAGCGGAAAAAUGGCCAAAAAAUGGGUGGGCUAUAGCCUAUGUGGGGGGCGUGGGCGAAGUUCGUCCGCGGGACUCGGAAUGGCCCCAGACUUGGCGGGCAGCCUCCGUGUGCCAAAAAUUGGCCACGGGCACAGCCGCACCCAAAAAUCAGCCCCCGAAGGUCGGGGUGCCAAGACCCCCCAGCGGAAAAAUGGCGAAAAACGGGUGGGCUAUAGCCUUGGUGGGGGGCGUGGGCGAAGUUCGUCCGCGGGACUCGGAAUGGCCCCAGCCUUGGCGGGCGGCCUCCGUGUGCCAAAAAUAGGCCACGGGCACAGCCGCGCCCAAAAAUGAGCCCCCGAAGGUCGGGGUCCCAAGGCCCCCCAGCGGAAAAAUGGCCAAAAAAAUGGGUGGGCUAUAGCCUUGGUGGGGACGUGGGCGAAGUUCGUCCGCUGGACUCGGAAUGGCCCCAGACUUGGUGGGCGGCCUCCGUGUGCCAAAAAUAGGCCACGGGCACAGCCGCGCCCAAAAAUCAGCCCCCCAAGGUCGGGGUCCCAAGACCCCCCAGCGGAAAAAUGGCCAAAAAAUGGGUGGGCUAUAGCCUAUGUGGGGGGCGUGGGCGAAGUUCGUCCGCGGGACUCGGAAUGGCCCCAGACUUGGCGGGCGGCCUCCGUGUGCCAAAAAUAGGCCACGGGCACAGCCGCGCCCAAAAAUCAGCCCCCGAAGGUCGGGGUCCUAAGACCCCCCAGCGGAAAAAUGGCCAAAAAACGGGUGGGCUAUAGCCUUGGUGGGGGGCGUGGGCGAAGU